rnacentral:rRNA from 1 species
GACGAACGCUGGCGGCGUGCUUAACACAUGCAAGUCGAACGGAUUCAGUAGGAAGAGCAAUCAGAAUAUUGAAUUAGUGGCGGACGGGUGAGUAACGCGUGAGCAACCUGCCUUGUACUGGGGGAUAACGUCUGGAAACGGGCGCUAAUACCGCAUAAUACUAUGAAGCCGCAUGGCGAUAUAGUCAAAACUCCGGUGGUACAAGAUGGGCUCGCGUCCAAUUAGCUGGUUGGUGAGGUAACGGCCCACCAAGGCGACGAUUGGUAGCCGAACUGAGAGGUUGAUCGGCCACAUUGGGACUGAGACACGGCCCAGACUCCUACGGGAGGCAGCAGUGGGGAAUAUUGCGCAAUGGAGGAAACUCUGACGCAGCAACGCCGCGUGAAGGAUGAAGGUUUUCGGAUUGUAAACUUCUUUGAUCGGGGACGAAAAUGACGGUACCCGAGGAACAAGCCACGGCUAACUACGUG